UUUAACUCAUAGAGUGCCUGUGGAUGGAGGGUAAAAAGUGACCUUGGACCAAUUAUCAAGGUCAAAGAUUGACGCAGAUGAUGUGAAGAAAAUACAACGGAAGCUGAUGUUGAAAGAAGUAUAGAGUAUUUAAAGAAGUUUUUAUGAAUGGACUUAGAUGUGAAAGACUACUUCAUUGUGUACCAAGAUAUAUGAUUUUAUUUAUUUUGAUAUCAUUUUCAAAUAAUGUUUUUGCACAUCAAAUGAAUUAUUAAACAUAUGAUUUGAUAA